rnacentral:rRNA from 1 species
UACGUAGGGUCCGAGCGUUGUCCGGAUUUAUUGGGCGUAAAGAGCUCGUAGGCGGUUCCGUAAGUCAGAUGUGAAAACUCAGGGCUCAACCCGGAGACGCCAUCUGAUACUGCGGUGACUGGAGUCUGGUAGGGGAACACGGAAUUCCUGGUGUAGCGGUGAAAAUGCGCAGAUAUCAGGAGGAACACCGAUGGCGAAGGCAGUGUUCUGGGCCAGUACUGACGCUGAGGAACGAAAGCUAGGGGAGCAAACAGG